CCCGCGGGGGUUCCGGGGGGAGCGAGGUAGCAAAGUGACCUUGCGGGGAUUUUCUCUCCCCUCGUCUCUGUCACGCCGCGCCGGGUGGCUGUCAGCGCGGCUUCUCGGGGCAGGGCUUCGGUGCGCCUCACCGGCGUGCGUCACCGCACGCGGAGCCGCUGUGCCGGUGCUGUACCGGGUGAUUUAUUGGGGCAUGUGCCGGGGCUGCACCUGGAGGCUGGCCGCUCUGCUCUCUGCCUCUCGCAUCUCCCCGUGAAUUGUCGAUUCAUGGCCCCGCCGGGGAGGGGGGCUUCGUGUCACCAAUAGAACCGGGGCUGCCGUUGGAGGAGGAGGGUUUGAUCUCUGUGAAGAUGCUGUCAGCCGCGUUCUGCGCAUCGCAUUCUUAAGAGUAAACCAGUGAUUAAAACAGUGCUGCCUUUGACGAUGGGUUAGGGCGCGUGCCAGGCGGAAUGUAACUCUGUGAACCGCAUCAGGUAAAGAAACGUUGCAAGGAAAAGGAUACAAUGCAGAUCUGGCCCUGUGGAAAUCACCAGACUCGGCCCGUCCUUGCAGACAGGGGCAGGCCGCGCCUCACGUGCUGCUCAGCUUGCUCUCUGCCUUGCACGAAAUGCCUACCCUUUCUCAAUUUGUCACACAAGUAUUUUUUCAGCUCCUGAUUAAAACUGCCCUCAGGAGUACUUGAACAGUCCCUAUACCACACUUGAGCAGAGCACUUUUCGGGUGCUGUUUUACUGGACACUGAAUAGAACAGGGAUAUAAGAAACCUGUCACCCGCAGACCAGAGCGAGAGGAGAUAAUUUCUGCCAUCCUUUCCUGCAUCCUCCUUCGAAGGAGAAGAAAACAUGCAAAUAUUUUCUAAGGGAAAUCUGCCCUGAAUAGCUGCUAUGUCUCACUGAAAAUUCCUGUGGUCCACCUUGUAGUGCUGCUUCAUAAACAGUGCCAUUUGUUUUGGCACAGCCAGCCACGGUUCCUGUACUGGACACAUUUCUUGUUGGCAUUUUUAUACAUGCAUUUAAAAGUAGUUUUUCCUGCUGGCUUGGUGCACUUCCCCAAACUGCC
rnacentral:lncRNA from 1 species